GGAAAAUUCAACAAGGAAAGUUUCAAUUCAAAUUGCAAAAUAAAAAGCUCAAACACGUCAAACGAUAUAUUCCUGAAUUGGUACACACAAAAGAGACACAGAUAACAAAGGGAAAUCAAACUCAUAAUUUGAAAAUUAACUGCUAUAUAAAAAAAGAAGAUGUGGUAUGAUUGCCAAUGAGACAACUGUCCACAAGAGACAAAAAUGACACAGACAUUAACAACG
rnacentral:lncRNA from 1 species